GGCGUUGAUCCAUCAUUCCGCACGACUUCAAUGAGAAUGAGGCAGUCCAUUUCAAGCACGAUCUUAUGAUCUUGUAGAUGUCGACUCAGAAAGUGAUCAAGGGUAUAGGCGAGUGCUUUAAACUCCGUUUCCAAAGCCGAAUGAGAUCGAAAAGAUCUAGAAUACAAAUCAGUGAUCCUGCCUUGAUGAUCUCUGCAGACACACGCCAUUGAUCCCUUUGUGCUCCCCGGAUGAUAUGCCCCAUCAAUAUUAUACUUAAGAACUGCUAGAUCGGGAGGUUGCCACAAAUGAUCAGGAUUGAAGAUCUGCCGUCUGGAUCUCGAAGAUGUAACCUUGGGAACAACAGAAGCUCUGGUCUGAGCAAUCGUCAAUUCCACUACGAGAUUUGGGUCUGGUUCUUGAUCACGGAAGACGAAGUUGUUGCGCAUCCUCCAAAUUUGCCACAGGGUAUUGGCAAUUAGUUCAAUUCCAGCUCGAGUCCACGAACAGUGGAGGAAAAGGUGCUCGGUGGUUUCAGGAGCUUGCUGAUGACAGAGCCUGCAGCAGGGGUCCUCAACAAUGUGUCUACGAUAGAAGUUGGCUUUAGUAGUAAUUGCGUUCUAACAAACCGCCCAGGUAACAAGGCGGUAUGAAGGGGAAUUCCUUGCUCACUGGAUUGCUGAAGGGGCUGCUACUCCAUAGGUAAGUCAUGGGUCCGAGUGGUAACAUCGCCACAAGCCAGAUGCUCUAAAGUCACAUUUACUGGUGGGGGUAGUAAUGGGGCGUUCGGUAUCUGAACUGGUGGAGUUUCAAGGACGACUUCAUCCAGUUCUUUUGGGUUGUCUUGCGCAGCAUAAAAGGUGUGCCAAUAUGGGCUACGCUCUUGAACCUCCGCCCGAAGCCAUUGGCCAUAGGCCAUUUUGCCUCGACCAUCUAACUUGGCCUCAUCAAAAGGUAUGUCCUUACAGUAUGUCACGUAAUGACCCAGUUUGCCGCACC